GGGUAGAGAUGUAGCAUCAAACAUUCACGGAUGUCCAGGGAGCACGGGCACACAGGCUGCUGCUGGCCAGAGGUACUAGGAAGGUACAGGCGGAAGCUCGACGAGGACGCACCUUCCCCUGUCUUGGAAAGACUAUUAUGAGCACAAUACACUAGUCAUGUUGGAGAUAACAGCCUGACCUCAGCGUGGCUGCAAAAUGAAGCCACGUUUGGCUUUCCUAAGCCAUCAGGAGGCUGCUCACAGCGCUGCUGGACUCUUUAAGCCCUGAGGUCAUGUGAAAAGAAGUUUGCCCUGUGUCCUUCUGUCUCCUGUUGGCUGUCCACAAGAUGGAGAAGGCGGAAGCAACCUGAGGCGUCCUCUUUGUCUGUAAAGAUAGAGAGUCCAUUGUGGAAGGGGGAGAUACAGGAACUAUAUAGGCAGGCCCUACCGGCCUGCAUCUCUUAUCUCCAGAAUUCUUUUACAGAAAAGAAAAAAAUAAACUUUUAUCUGGCUUAAGCC
rnacentral:lncRNA from 1 species